rnacentral:snRNA from 1 species
GGAUGUGAGGGCGAUCUGGCUGUGACGUCUGUCACCCCAUUGAUCGCCAGAGUUGAUUUGGCUAAUCUGGCUGGCUAGAUAGAUAUCUCCUUCCUCCCUCACCGCUCCAUGUGCGUCCCUCCGGAAACUGUGUGCUCAGUCGAAGAGGACUGCCUUUCCCAAUAGAGACAGACCAGUGUUUGGUGGAGGGUAUAGCUGUGUUCUCCUGCUAGAACCUCCAAGCAAGCUCUCUAAUACCCUACCAGUAUCCUAAUCUAUAACCUCAUAACCUAUUGUCAACACACUAUAAUA